rnacentral:rRNA from 1 species
AACGAACGCUGGCGGCAGGCCUAACACAUGCAAGUCGAACGCCCCGCAAGGGGAGUGGCAGACGGGUGAGUAACGCGUGGGAACCUACCUUUCGGUGCGGAAUAACUCCGGGAAGCCGGAGCUAAUACCGCAUACGCCCUUCGGGGGAAAGAUUUAUCGCCGAUAGAUGGGCCCGCGUCGGAUUAGCUUGUUGGUGAGGUAACGGCUCACCAAGGCGACGAUCCGUAGCUGGUCUGAGAGGAUGAUCAGCCACACUGGGACUGAGACACGGCCCAGACUCCUACGGGAGGCAGCAGUGGGGAAUAUUGGACAAUGGGCGCAAGCCUGAUCCAGCCAUGCCGCGUGAGUGAAGAAGGCCUUAGGGUUGUAAAGCUCUUUUAGUGGGGACGAUAAUGACGGUACCCACAGAAUAAGCCCCGGCUAACUUCGUGCCAGCCGCCGCGGUAA